CUUGAGCAGCUUCCUGAGCACUGGCAGCCUGAAACAUGAAACACUAAUGUUGACAUGCACCACAAAAAAAAUUAGUAGCAACGUGAAGUCAAGUGCUACGGACUGGGCCUGGGCCUUGGUGGGCUUGGCCUGGCAGGCCUGCUGCUGAAGUGGACUUGGGUGGACUAAAUCAUGGGCCUGAGCCCAACAGAGCAAGCAAAAGCAACGGAAAUCAGCUGUGUAAAAGGCGCAAGUCAGUAGCAUUUGCACGGUCGGCA
rnacentral:lncRNA from 1 species